rnacentral:SRP_RNA from 1 species
ACUUGGUUUUCACGCAAUGCUAGAUUGUGAACCCCGCCAGGUCCGGAAGGAAGCAACGGUAAUGGUUGAUACAUGUGCCGUGGUAAGGCUAAGUCAG